rnacentral:rRNA from 1 species
UACGGAGGGUGCAAGCGUUGUCCGGAAUCACUGGGCGUAAAGGGCGCGUAGGCGGAUGGCACAGUCAGAUGUGAAAUUCCCGGGCUUAACCUGGGGGCUGCAUUUGAUACGUGUGAUCUAGAGUGAGGAAGAGGGUCGUGGAAUUCCCAGUGUAGAGGUGAAAUUCGUAGAUAUUGGGAAGAACACCGGUGGCGAAGGCGGCGACCUGGUCCUUGACUGACGCUGAGGCGCGAAAGCGUGGGGAGCAAACAGG